rnacentral:rRNA from 1 species
CCUACGGGAGGCAGCAGUGGGGAAUAUUGCGCAAUGGGGGAAACCCUGACGCAGCAACGCCGCGUGAGUGAGGAAGUAUCUCGGUAUAUAAAGCUCUUUCAGCGGGGAAGAAGGAAGACGGUACCCGACUGAGAAGCCCCGGCUAACUACGUGCCAGCAGCCGCGGUAAUACGUAGGGGGCGAGCGUUAUCCGGAUUUACUGGGUGUAAAGGGGGCGUAGACGGCGUCGCAAGUCUGAAGUGAAAGCCCGUGGCUUAACCGCGGAACCGCUUGGGAAACUGUGAGGCUGGAGUGCUGGAGAGGUGAGCGGAAUGCCUGGUGUAGCGGUGAAAUGCGUAGAUAUCAGGAGGAACACCGGUGGCGAAGGCGGCUUACUGGAUAGUGACUGACGUUGAGGCUCGAAAGUGUGGGGAGCGAACAGGAUUAGAUACCCGUGUAGUC